AGCAGUCGCCACGGUAAUACAGAGGGUGCAAGCGUUAAUCGGAAUUACUGGGCGUAAAGCGCGCGUAGGUGGUUUGUUAAGUUGGAUGUGAAAGCCCCGGGCUCAACCUGGGAACUGCAUCCAAAACUGGCAAGCUAGAGUACGGUAGAGGGUGGUGGAAUUUCCUGUGUAGCGGUGAAAUGCGUAGAUAUAGGAAGGAACACCAGUGGCGAAGGCGACCACCUGGACUGAUACUGACACUGAGGUGCGAAAGCGUGGGGAGCAAACAGGAUUAGAUACCCCUGUAGUCCCUGUCUCUUAUAC
rnacentral:rRNA from 1 species